rnacentral:rRNA from 1 species
CAGAUGUGAAAGACCCGGGGCGUCAACCUCGGAAUAGCAUUUGUAAACUAGGCAGACUAGAGUACUAUAGAGGGGGGUAGGAAGUUUCUAGGUGUAGCGGUGAAAUAGCGUAGAGAUCUGAAGGAAUACCGGUGGCGAAGGCGGCCCCCUCGGACAGAUACUGACACUCAGAUGCGAAAGCGUGGGGAGCAAACAGGAUUAGAUACCCCUGGUAG